ACCAGGAUGGCCAAGUGGUUAAGGUGUUGCACUUAAGAUGCAAUGGAUUGUUGUCCUCAUGGGUUCAAAUCCCACUCCUGGCA